rnacentral:rRNA from 1 species
CCUACGGGUGGCUGCAGUGGGGAAUAUUGGACAAUGGGGGGAACCCUGAUCCAGCCAUGCCGCGUGUGUGAAGAAGGCCCUCGGGUUGUAAAGCACUUUCAGUGAGGAAGAACGCCUGGUGGUUAAUACCCAUCAGGAAAGACAUCACUCACAGAAGAAGCACCGGCUAACUCCGUGCCAGCAGCCGCGGUAAUACGGAUGGUGCGAGCGUUAAUCGGAAUUACUGGGCGUAAAGCGCGCGUAGGUGGCUUGAUAAGCCGGUUGUGAAAGCCCCGGGCUCAACCUGGGAACGGCAUCCGGAACUGUCAAGCUAGAGUGUAGGAGAGGAAGGUAGAAUUCCCGGUGUAGCGGUGAAAUGCGUAGAGAUCGGGAGGAAUACCAGUGGCGAAGGCGGCCUUCUGGACUGACACUGACACUGAGGUGCGAAAGCGUGGGUAGCAAACAGGAUUAGAUACCCUGGUAGUC